CUCUUCCGAUCUCAGAGCUCUCUGUUCCCCACUCCAGUCCAGGUUGGCAGGCAGCUGGACAAACUGCCCAGUGACACACGUAGAAACAUCCUCAGUCUCAGCCGGGUCCAGGCCGGGUCACUUCUUCAUCUCAGACCGCCCUUCCUGUCUUCGCUUUCCUUCGCCGGACCCUUGACUAAAGACUGCAGCCACAGGACCACCUCCACCCAGAACCAGUACAGCUUCACCAGGGGCCCGGCCAAGAGCCCCGAGGGCUGUCUGGACCUAUCCUUACGAGGGGAUGAGGCUGGGAAGGUUCAGGGGAAGGGCUGGGGCAGUCCUGGAGACAGUCAGAGGAGGCUUGAAGAUGAUGAUCAGUACACACUAGCCUCCACAGAGACUGAUACUCUGCCUUAUACCAAAGCCAAAGAAGCUC
rnacentral:lncRNA from 8 species